CGGAUGCCCUGUGGAUGGAGAGGCUCACGCUGGCCUCUGAUCUUCCUUGUGGCAUAUUUUAUCCCAAGAACUUGAUCGAGUCUAGACUGGGUCCUCCCUUUGGGUGGGCUUGUUGCCCUCCCGGUUCUCAGGCACAGCGCUCUCCCCGUGGACAGGUACAGGCAUGCAUCACAAAUCUGGAAGCUCGCCCAAAAAGUAUGUCUGCUGUUUGUGAAGGGGCAAUGUAGCAAUUACCUGUGAGUAAUGCAGUGGCAGAUCUGCUAUGAGAAAUUAAAGCUGGAAAAGAAGGCUUUCCUCUCCUUGAAGGAAGGGCAUUGGGUGAACUAACUCUUGCCUUGGGAACUCUUUCUUCUCCUUCCCCCAAACCCCACCCCUUUCUUCCCAGACAUCCUUUCUCAGUCACCGCACUCUGGCACUCAGCAAGCCUUGGGAAUAAGAAGGAAUUGGCUGGAAGUAAACAGUGUGCUUGCUCAUAGCAAUUGAAAACUUUCUCUUGAUGUUUCUGGUUCCGGGGGAGGAAGCAGAAGAUUGAGCCCUGGAGUCUGCCCCGUUCCGAGAGGUGGCUACGGCAGCAGCCUUCACAUCCAUUUUUUUCUCCUGAAGCUGCUUCUGGUUGGAAAGUCACCAAAUUUCAUCAGCCUGGGCCUCGGUGUUUCCGCUUUCCAUCAUCUCCAUAGUCUCCAAGCGCCUAGAUCCUCGCGGCCUCGGUGUUUCCGCUUUCCAUCAUCUCCAUAGUCUCUAAGCACUUAGAUCCUCGCAGCCUCGGUGUUUCCGUUUUCCAUCAUCUCCAUAGUCUCUAAGCGCCUAGAUCCUCGCAGCCUCGGUGUUUCCGUUUUCCAUCAUCUCCAUAGUCUCUAAGCGCCUAGAUCCUCGCAGCCUCGGUGUUUCCGUUUUCCAUCAUCUCCAUAGUCUCCUAUGCCCAGAUCCGAGUACUCUGGGGACAGGAACUCCCAGUAUCAGUCUCGUUCUCUGGCCAUCUUUUCUGGCCUGUUUUGUCAGCGUUGGAUGGAAAUGUGUCCUCGUCCUCAUUCCGUCCUGCUCGUGGAUGUGAGGCAGGACCCCCUCCCGGAGCCUCUCCUGCCCACUCCAGUAAGCUGUUGUGAGAAUUUGACAGAAUCAUGCAAGUGAGAGGAUUACAAACGUUAAAGCAUUACAGAAGGUGUUGUUAUAAUGAAACGUGGAUCCUGGGCUCACGUUGGGGUGGGGCUGAGCCUCCUCCAGUCCUUCUGCUUGCGUGUGUAACCUCUGGUGAAAUACUGAUAAUCGUUGCUAAGUGGCUCAGGCUUCUUCACAUCCUGUGUUUCUCCUGUGGCUUUCACAGGGCAGGCCCGUCUGCCGUGAACUGAUGCUGCUGAGAAGGGUGAGGUGGGAAGACACGUAGCUACAAAGGACCUGGGGGCUCUGGUUAAGUGAGACGUCUUAGAUCUGAGCUCACCGCUCCAACCCAGAAAGGAACAACAGCAACGAUGGUACGAGACCCGUAGUACAGUCAGCUGGCGGCUCAGCACCGUGGUCUCAUCACCAAAGUUCCCCUUCAGCCACGUUCCGUCUCUCGCAGCCACCUUAUCAGGAACAUCAAAUUUAACUGAGGUCCUACUGGCUCAGUGACAUCUCAGCACAUAGUUCUGCUUAUGAAAUAGGCACCAAACCCUACACCAAGUAGACAACCAUGAGGAAUCCACAGAUUCUUCCUUAAGAAACUCACAUGCAGAUGAACACACACAAAGAAUGUUCACUGUGGUUAUUGCUGCAGGAGAGGUGUGUUCAAGGUGCCAUGGGAGGACAGAAGAUGGAGCAACGUGCCUGACUCCGUGCAGGAAGUCAAGGAGGAGCUGGCACGUGAGCCGGGCCUUCAGGGAUGGGCAGAUGUUCAGAGCAGGCUGUGGGGCCCACCCAGCUGGUUCAGAUCCCGACCCUGCCACUUCCCAACUACACAACGUGGCUGGUUACUUACUUUUUGAUGCCCGGUGUCCUUCCUCCACAAUGGAUGUGGUGGUACUGACUGAGCCGCCUCAGGGGUCACCGUGAGCAGAAGGGAGUCUAGGCGAGUGUGGCCCUCAGAACA
ensembl:lncRNA